UACAGAGGGGGCGAGCGUUAUUCGGAAUCACUGGGCUUAAAGAGUCCGUAGGCGGCCAAUUAGGUGAGGUGUGAAAUCCCCCGGCUUAACCGAGGAAUUGCGCUUCAAACCGAUUGGCUAGAGGAAGAUAGAGGAAAGCGGAACUGAUGGUGGAGCGGUGAAAUGCGUUGAUAUCAUCAGGAACACCGGUGGCGAAAGCGGCUUUCUGGGUCUUUUCUGACGCUGAGGGACGAAAGCUAGGGGAGCGAACGGG
rnacentral:rRNA from 1 species